rnacentral:rRNA from 1 species
CGAACGGGUGAGUAACGCGUGAGGAACCUGCCUCAAAGAGGGGGACAACAGUUGGAAACGACUGCUAAUACCGCAUAAGCCCACAGCUCGGCAUCGAGCAGAGGGAAAAGGAGCAAUCCGCUUUGAGAUGGCCUCUCGUCCGAUUAGCUAGUUGGUGAGGUAACGGCCCACCAAGGCGACGAUCGGUAGCCGGACUGAGAGGUUGAACGGCCACAUUGGGACUGAGACACGGCCCAA